rnacentral:rRNA from 1 species
UGCUUAUUUCUAGAGAUAGAAAGUUACUUCGGUACAUCGGUGACAGGUGGUGCAUGGUUGUCGUCAGCUCGUGUCGUGAGAUGUUGGGUUAAGUCCCGCAACGAGCGCAACCCCUAUUGUUAGUUGCCAUCAUUCAGUUGGGCACUCUAGCGAGACUGCCGGUAAUAAACCGGAGGAAGUGGGGAUGACGUCAAAUCAUCAUGCCCCUUAUGACCUGGGCUACACACGUGCUACAAUGGUUGGUACAACGAGUUGCGAGUCGGUGACGGCGAGCUAAUCUCUUAAAGCCAAUCUCAGUUCGGAUUGUAGGCUGCAACUCGCCUACAUGAAGUCGGAAUCGCUAGUAAUCGCGGAUCAGCACGCCGCGGUGAAUACGUUCCCGGGCCUU